rnacentral:rRNA from 1 species
GGGUGCGAUCAUACCAGCACUAAAGCACCAKGAUCCCAUCAGAACUCCGAAAAGUUAAGCGUGCUUGGGCGAGAGUAGUACUAGGAUGGGUGACCCCCUGGGAAGUCCUCGUGUUGCACCCCC